rnacentral:rRNA from 1 species
GUUGUACGCUUCCUAGCAACGUUGGGAGCGUAGCGAAAAACUCCGUAACACGUAGUUAAUCUUCCCUUAGGACGGGGAUAACCCCGGGAAACUGGGGCUAAUAACCGAUAGGCGGAAACGCCUGGAAUGGUCUUCCACCUAAAGGGUCUUAGAAACACGCUCAUAAGACUGCCUAAGGAUGAGACUGCGGCCGAUCAGGUUGUUGGUGGGGUAACGGCCUACCAAGCCUAUAACCGGUACGGGCCCUGAGAGGGGGAGCCCGGAGGUGGGAACUGAGACAAGGUCCCAGACCCUACGGGGCGCAGCAGGCGCGAAACCUCCACAAUACACGAAUGUGUGAUGGGGUUAUCCCGAGUGCCAUCCGCUGAGGACGGCUUUUCUUCAUUGUAUGUAGCUGAAGGAAUAAGAGGGGGGCAAGACUGGUGUCAGCCGCCGCGGUAACACCAGCCCCCCGAGUGGUGGGGAUGUUUAUUUGGCCUAAAACGUCCGUAGCCAGCUAGGUAAAUCUCUCGUUAAAUCCAGCGUCCUAAGCGUUGGGCUGCGAGAGAGACUGCCAAGCUAGAGGGUGGGAGAGGUCAGCGGUAUUUCUGGGGUAGGGGCGAAAUCCAUUGAUCCCAGGAGGACCACCAGUGGCAAAGGCUGCUGACUAGAACACGCCUGACGGUGAGGGACGAAAGCUGGGGUAGCGAAUCGGAUUAGAUACCCGAGUAGUCCCAGCCGUAAACGAU